GCUGCCACUGCUCUACAAUGGCAAAGUGAGCCAUUUCCCUGUUUGGCAGAUGUGGCAGGGAGGUGAUGGAAGAGACGCACUUAGGGAAGCAGGAUUGUAACUGAGGUGCUAGAGGACUCCUCCGAACCCCAUAGUGGGAAGUGAGUAGCUUCUACUCUGGUUCUUUGCCACGAAGCAGCACCCUGUGAGCAGAAUUUCAGAGAAGGGAAAUUUGCUUAGCCAGCAAGAAAAGGCAUAGCUUGGAAAUAUCUUUCCAAGGACUGCCAGUGCCCAAGCAGUGAUUUGGUUCCCACAUCCUGCUCAUCCGAUGUGAGACCUGCUCUUGUUUUGCAUGGCAAGAACUGGCAGAGCAGGCUAGGAGCACUGAGCCUGCCUUCUGCUUCACCUCCAGAGCUC
rnacentral:lncRNA from 1 species